rnacentral:rRNA from 1 species
CGGGUCCAGCCUUUCGAAAGAAAGAUUAAUCCCCGAUGGUGUCAGGCAGUUCCAUGACAGCCUGACUAAAGAGUUAUCGGCCGCCGAUGGGGAUGCGUUCCAUUAGCUUGUUGGCGGGGUAACGGCCCACCAAGGCGACGAUGGAUAGGGGUUCUGAGAGGAAGGCCCCCCACAUUGGGACUGAGACACGGCCCAAACUC